CACGUAGGGGGCGAGCGUUGUCCGGAUUCAUUGGGCGUAAAGGGCGCGCAGGCGGCCCGGAAAGUCGGAUGUGAAAACUCGAGGCUCAACCUCGAGCGUGCACCCGAUACUGCCGGGCUUGAGGCAGGUAGGGGAGAUCGGAAUUCCGUGGUGGUAGCGGUGAAAUGCGCAGAUAUCAGGAGGAACACCGGUGGCGAAGGCGGAUCUCUGGGCCUGUCCUGACGCUGAGGCGCGAAAGCUAGGGGAGCGAACAGG
rnacentral:rRNA from 1 species